UAUAUCAGUGAAGUUCUCAUCAGGUUUGGAUGAAUCCUAAUAAACCUCCGGAGGAAACACGGUUCCUCAAAUCCUGAACACAUGAACAGAUGAGCACUAAACGGAUUAAAGCAAUAAAUCACCCAAAAAUCAGGACUGAGUCAUUAUUUAUUCCCCCUCAUGUGGAUCCAGACCAUGCUGUUCGUUUCUGUGGGGAACUCGAGGGUUUUAGGCUGAGGUCACUGGGAGGGAGAUUUUUAGCAAAUGAAGACCGAAUGAAGACAGACACAGAUCUUUGUGUGAAACCGGAUCCGAGAGACAGAUGGAGAAAACGUGCGGCCGCGGGAUUUUCCGCAUGGAUCCAUUGGCACCUGGAUUUGGGAAACAGGAUUAGCGGAGUUUUUGGCUGUGCUGAGAUAUGAAGGAGGAUCUUCUGCUGGAGAACCUGUGAUCCUUUCAUCGUAGUCAGUAGCGAACAUCAGAUGAACUUGAAAAAACAUCGGACGGAUGAAAUCCUCAGCAUAUGUAUUACAACGGACAAAGUGUGCAUUCUGAAAUCUAAAUAAAAACUGAAGCUUUGUACACAUAUAGCUCUACCUUCAUUUGUUAUUCACUGUUUGUGUCAUUUUGUAAAAGUGUUUUAACUGGUCCAGUAUUCACUGGUUUGGUCCUGAGACAGAUUCGAGCGUGGACUUAUUAAACCUGCAGGAUGUUUUAAUGGUGCAAAGACCUCUUAGAUGCUAAAAGAUCAAUGCAAAUUAGAUUUCUCAUGUC